rnacentral:rRNA from 1 species
AUACGUAGGGAGCGAGCGUUGUCCGGAUUUACUGGGUGUAAAGGGUGCGUAGGCGGCUCUGCAAGUCAGGUGUGAAAACCAUCGGCUUAACUGAUGGACUGCAUUUGAAACUGUGGGGCUUGAGUGGAGUAGAGGCAGACGGAAUUCCCGGUGUAGCGGUGAAAUGCGUAGAGAUCGGGAAGAACACCAGUGGCGAAGGCGGUCUGCUGGGCUCUAACUGACGCUGAGGCACGAAAGCAUGGGUAGCAAAAAGGAUUAGAUACCCUGGUAGUCCAUGCCGUAAAAGAUGAUUACUAGGUGUGGGGAGUCUGAACCUCUCCGUGCCGGAGUUAACACAAUAAGUAAUCCGCCUGGGAAGUACGACCGCAAGGUUAAA